rnacentral:rRNA from 1 species
AUGCCCGGCUCCACCGUGCUGCUGAUCGGCGCCUCCAUGGUCGCGCUCCUCGUCGUCUCCCUCUUCACCUUCCUCUGCUCCAACCGGCGCCAGGCCCACCGCGCGUCGCCGUCGCCAUCACAGCGGAGCGUCGUCGACCUCGAGCUCGGCCUGGGGCGGCCGUGCGGGAUCGACGAGGCCGUCUUGGCCGCGUACCCGACCACGGUGUACUCCUCGACGGCGAGCCGACAGGACGAAGGCCAGAUGGCUGCUGCGGUCGCCGCGUCGGCAGAUGGUGGCCAGCCGCCGGACGACACGCACACGAUGUGCGCGGUGUGCCUGGCGCAGUACGCAGACGGCGACGAGCUCCGGUGGCUGCCGGGGUGCCGGCACGCGUUCCACCGGCCGUGCGUUGACGAAUGGCUGCGGCGGCGGCCGAGCUGCCCGCUCUGCCGCACGUCGCCGCCUAGUACGUGCGCUCCGCCACCGCCGCCUGCGGUUAUGGACUCCUGA